rnacentral:rRNA from 1 species
GACGAACGCUGGCGGCGUGCUUAACACAUGCAAGUCGAGCGGUAAGGCCCUUUCGGGGGUACACGAGCGGCGAACGGGUGAGUAACACGUGGGUGACCUGCCCUCAGCUCUGGGAUAAGCCUGGGAAACCGGGUCUAAUACUGGAUAUGACUCCAUGACGCAUGUUGUGGGGUGGAAAGCCUUGUGCGGCUGAGGAUGGGCCCGCGGCCUAUCAGCUUGUUGGUGGGGUGANGGCCUACCAAGGCGACGACGGGUAGCCGGCCUGAGAGGGCGACCGGCCACACUGGGACUGAGGCACGGCCCAGACUCCUACGGGAGGCAGCAGUGGGGAAUCUUGCGCAAUGGGCGAAAGCCUGACGCAGCGACGCCGCGUGAGGGAUGACGGCCUGG